rnacentral:rRNA from 1 species
UACGUAGGGUGCAAGCGUUAAUCGGAAUUACUGGGCGUAAAGCGUGCGCAGGCGGUUUUUGUAAAGCCAGAUGUGAAAGCCCCCGGGCUCAACCUGGGAAUUGCGGUUGAAACUGGCGAACUAGAAUCUGGCAGAGGGGGGGUGGAAUUCCACGUGUAGCAGUGAAAUGCGUAGAGAUGUGGAGGAACACCGAUGGCGAAGGCAGCCCCCUGGGCUGAGAUUGACGCUCAGGCACGAAAGCGUGGGGAGCAAACAGG